rnacentral:rRNA from 1 species
AGAACGAACGCUGGCGGCAGGCCUAACACAUGCAAGUCGAACGCUCCGCAAGGAGAGUGGCAGACGGGUGAGUAACGCGUGGGAAUUUCCCCCAAGGUUCGGAAUAACUGAGGGAAACUUCAGCUAAUACCGAAUGGUACCGAGAGGUUAAAGAUUUAUCGCCUUGGGAUGAGCCCGCGUUGGAUUAGCUAGUUGGUGGGGUAACGGCCCACCAAGGCUUUGAUCCAUAGCUGGUCUGAGAGGACGACCAGCCACACUGGGACUGAGACACGGCCCAGACUCCUACGGGAGGCAGCAGUGGGGAAUCUUGGACAAUGGGCGCAAGCCUGAUCCAGCCAUGCCGCGUGGGCGAUGAAGGUCUUCGGAUUGUAAAGCCCUUUUGGCGGGACGAUAAUGACGGUACCCGCAGAAUAAGCUCCGGCUAACUUCGUGCCAGCAGCCGC